AUUGAACGCUGGCGGCAGGCUUAACACAUGCAAGUCGAGCGAGCGGCGGACGGGUGAGUAAUGUCUGGGAAACUGCCUGAUGGAGGGGGAUAACUACUGGAAACGGUAGCUAAUACCGCAUACCAUCAGAUGUGCCCAGAUGGGAUGAGCUAGUAGGUGGGGUAAUGGCUCACCUCGGCGACGAUCCCUAGCUGGUCUGAGAGGAUGACCAGCCACACUGGAACUGAGACACGGUCCAGACUCCUACGGGAGGCAGCAGUGGGGAAUAUUGGACAAUGGGCGCAAGCCUGAUGCAGACAUGCCGGGUGUAUGAAGAAGGUCUUGGGGUUGUAAAGUAUUUUUAGCGGGGAGGCGUUACCCGCAGAAGAAGCACCGGCUAACUCCGUGCCAGCAGCCGCGGUAAUUC
rnacentral:rRNA from 1 species